GAUGAAGAACGCAGCGAACUGCGAUAAGUAAUGUGAAUUGCAGAAUUCAGUGAAUCAUCGAGUCUUUGAACGCACAUUGCGCCCCCUGGCAUUCCGGGGGGCAUGCCUGUCCGAGCGUCAUUGCUGCCCUUCAAGCCCGGCUUGUGUGUUGGGUCGUCGUCCCCCCCGGGGGACGGGCCCGAAAGGCAGCGGCGGCACCGCGUCCGGUCCUCGAGCGUAUGGGGCUUUGUCACCCGCUCGAUUAGGGCCGGCCGGGCGCCAGCCGGCGUCUCCAACCUUCUAUUUUACCAGGUUGACCUCGGAUCAGGUAGGGAUACCCGCUGAACUUAAGCAUAUCAAUAGCGGAGGA
rnacentral:misc_RNA from 1 species